CCUACGGGAGGCAGCAGUGGGGAAUAUUGCACCAUGGGGGAAACCCUGAUGCCGCAACGCCUCGUGAGUGAAGAAGUAUUUCGGUAUGUAAAGCUCUAUCAGCAGGGAAGAAGAUGACGGUAACUGAGUAAGAAUCCCCGGCUAACUACGUGCCAGCAGCCGCGGUACUACGUAGGUGGCAAGCGUUAUCCGGAUUUACUGGGUGUAAAGGGAGCGUAGACGGUGAGACAAGUCUGAAGUGAAAGCCCGUGGCUCAACCCCGGGACUGCUUUGGAAACUGCCUGACUGGAGUGCUGGAGAGGCAAGCGGAAUUCCUAGUGUAGCGGUGAACUGCGUAGAUAUUAGGAAGAACACCAGUGGCGAAGGCGGCGUGCUGGACAGUAACUGACGUUGAGGCUCGAAAGCGUGGGGAGCAAACAGGAUUAGAUACCCGUGUAGUC
rnacentral:rRNA from 1 species